rnacentral:rRNA from 1 species
GACGAACGCUGGCGGCGUGCUUAACACAUGCAAGUCGAACGGAAAGGCCCUGCUUUUGUGGGGUGCUCGAGUGGCGAACGGGUGAGUAACACGUGAGUAACCUGCCCUAGACUUUGGGAUAACUUCAGGAAACUGGGGCUAAUACCGGAUAGGAGCUCCUGCUGCAUGGUGGGGGUUGGAAAGUUUCGGCGGUUGGGGAUGGACUCGCGGCUUAUCAGCUUGUUGGUGGGGUAGUGGCUUACCAAGGCUUUGACGGGUAGCCGGCCGGGGAGCGUGACCGGCCACAAUGGGACUGAGAGACGGCCCAGACUCCUACGGGAGGCAGCAGUGGGGAAUAUUGCACAAUGGGAGGAAGCCUGAUGCAGCAACGCCGCGUGCGUGAUGACGGCCUUCGGGUUGUAAACCGCUUUCGCCUGUGACGAAGCGGGAGUGACGGUAAUGGGUAAAGAAGCACCGGCUAACUACGUG